rnacentral:sRNA from 1 species
GUGACACACACAAACACACACAUCUUGAAUCCUCCAACCACACCCCAUCCCACAUUAAAUAAUAAUAAGUAAAAAAACGAAGUAGGACACUGAGGACUCACGUCCUCUGUUUCAAGCAUGAAGCUGGAGGUCGUUUGAAAUGUGCUGUGACAACAGAGCACUGAUUGGGACAAGACCUUUAACAUAAGCUGAACACCACAAUCACCUUCUUUGUUCGUGACAUGAAGUUGGACUUACAGAUAACCAGGGCCAUGGAAAUGCCCUGGGACAUACUAUCUGAACAAUUAGAAUCUGUCACCACACAAUGGCCCAUCGGUUUAAGAGCUGUGGUGGCUACUGCUAGGGUAAUGAAAAAAGCCAAACAAAUUAACUCUGGUCAAAAUCUUAUACCCACAGCACCCAUGGCAUAGUUGUGGCCCCCCUCUACAGAGCACUGAAACACUGGCUAUCUGAUAACCUGUGAACCAGCACCAUGCCCUAUGCCUGGCCCACUUCAAGUCCUAUUUGAGGAAGCCACUGCUAUCGAUCAAAUCAGCUACCUUCUUUCUGAGGACACAGAGCUCAGUCAUGAGUGGAAACUAGGAACAGUGAGCUGCAGGAGUUACUUCAACCAAGAGGACUUGGGCCCAAGCCAGGUGCCUAUGGAGGUCAGAGUUGGGUGUCAGAUCUCUCAGAACUGGAGUUGCAGGCAUCGGGAGCCACUGGGCAUAAGUGCUGGUAACUGACCUCAGGUUGUCUGGAAGAGCAGCAAGCAUUUUUAACCGCUGAGCCCUCUCCUGCCCUCUAUUUCCCUCCUUCGUAUUCCUCCCUCUUCCAGGUCUGCUUUCCUCUGGGUGUGUCCUCAUUAGUUUAACUAAGGUGGCUCUCAAGUACACGGCAAGUUACCAGUAACCACAGCACUGAGGGAAACGUCUUCCUCUUUCUACAGGAACCACUAACAGUCGGUAGAUUUAGUAGGGAAAAGGCCUUCUGAGAUGCUCCAUAGUAAUCCCUGUUUUGUUGGGUUCCCCUUUUUAGGUCACUUUUGAGACGGAUCUAACUGCACUAUUGGCCUGGAGCUUGUUUUGUAUGCCAUCCUAGGAAUGGACUGUAGAAGUAGGAGGAAUGAAAGCCCCCGGUUCACUCUCCAAGAUUAAAGAAGUUAACCGAUCUACCCAUGGGAGAAGUGGUAAGGAAGCCAUCGGGAGGCAGGGAAAGUACUUACUAAAACCAGAAAGACCAAGACCACGGUCAGAAUCUUGUAGUCCUUGAAUUGCCCCAUGAACAGAUCCACACAGCCUGGACUUUCCUUCAGUUGUAAGUAUGAAUCCUGACAGCUCGUAAAGCAUCAUAAGGUUAGCAGGUCCUCCCAUGACAGAGGAGCUGAUUCACUGUGUUGGCUUCUCAUUUACGUUCGCACUGUCAUCUGACGUGCGUACAUGCAGCCAGACAGAAGUUUCAGCAGUUGGUGCUGAGGUCCUGCUGGCUCUGUUACAUAGAUGUUGGGGCAGAAUUCAAGUUCUAUGUUCAAAGACUCCUGAUUCCCAGUGAGCCAGCAGGAAAGUGUGCCCAACAGAGUGUCCCCAUUGACACCCACAGGGAGUAAAUGGGAUCUUAACUUUUUUAUUUUCCCCUGAGGGUUCUAGUGUAAUACCUGUUCUUGCUGUAAGAAGGGGGCGGGGGGGAGUGUCUUCAACCAAUAGGCUAGGAAAACUCUGUGUGUUAAGAGCAGCAUCCAUGUUUGCUGUUUAUUAUCCUGGCAUGCCAAUUGCACAGCAGUUACUGGGAAGUCAGAGGUAGGCUGAAGAGCCACAGAGGAGGAAGACAUUCUGCUCCAAAGAAAAAGAAAGACAGAAAGACAGAAAGACAGAAAGACAGAAAGACAGAAAGACAGAAAGACAGAAAG